UACGUAGGGUGCAGGCGUUAAUCGGAAUUACUGGGCGUAAAGCGUGCGCAGGCGGUUUGCUAAGACAGGUGUGAAAUCCCCGGGCUUAACCUGGGAACUGCGCUUGUUACUGGCAGACUUGAGUGUGGCAGAGGGGGGUGGAAUUCCAGGUGUAGCAGUGAAAUGCGUAGAUAUGUGGAGGAACACCAAUGGCGAAGGCAGCCCCCUGGGUCAACACUGACGCUCAUGCACGAAAGCGUGGGGAGCAAACAGG
rnacentral:rRNA from 1 species